rnacentral:lncRNA from 1 species
CUGUAGCUACAUCCGUAGCAAUCUGUAUCCUUUGUGUCCAUUUCAAGAACUUUCCUUCGUUGCUGCUAACAUGAAUCCAAUCACUCAAAGGUCCAUUGGCAGCAUACUCGUAAACCAGGUACCAAUGCCCAUCAUUGAAACAAACACCAGAGAGGCGAAUUAGAUUACAGUGGUUGAUCUUAUUCAAUAAAUCUAUCUCCUUGGACACGUCUCCGUUCAUCUUCUUAAUGGCAGCGAAAUCACCAUUGAUUAGGCCACGAAAAACAGACCCUUUGAUCCAACAACUGGGACUGAAGUUAUCUGUUGCAGCUUUCAGAUCUUCAUAGUUGUAGACUUUGAUGGAUUGAGCUAUGCUAUAAACACUCUCUAACAAAUCCUGAGGUUCUUCAUCCAACUUCCUGUUGAGUGGUUUCUCAUGUGCCUCAAAGCUUUGUGACACGAUAAUUGGACCCGGUUGCUUCUUGCUUUUUAGGAAGAACAUGAAGAAAAUAAUGGUUCCAAUGACUAGUGUAAGAACAAUUCCUCCAAAAACCCCAACGACAAGAUAAACCCAUGUUGUGUUUGAGCUUUUGACGGAGUUUGGUGACGGUGGUGGAGGUGGAGGUGGAGGUGAAGGUGAAGCUGGAGGUGGAGGUGGCACUACAGUUUGUGAACUUGUUGGUGGGUUUUUUAGAGGAAUUAGGAGUGUUGUGAAGGGGUAAAUCGUGGGAUAUUUCUCACUGAUUUCAUUUGCUUCAAGAGCUCUCCCGAUAUCUGCACCAAAUCGUACACUAGCUCUUGAAACUGUAUCGCCCUGUGUGACUAAGUAACUUAACAGAUACCUGAUACCUAAAUCACUCUGGUUCUUUGUAGGACAGGCACAUCUAAGAGGAACAGUGAGUGUCUCACCAGCAAAUAUAUCGACAGUGAGUGUACUUUUUAGAUUCCGGAUAGCUUGACAGGUUGAGAGGCCUUGAUAAGUGUUAUUAGCAAUCAAGAAAGGAGUGUUACCUGGUUGAACAAUGUAAGAUGCGUUUGCCUGAAAAUAAUCGCCUGAACAUGAGCAGUUGACGGGAACCAGCACCAACUGGUUUGUUGGAAAUGAUGCAGUCUCGGAAACUGAAUUCAUUUGAGAGAGCUGAGAUGGGUCUGAAGCCAAAAGAGUAGAUAUGGAGGCAACAGUAGUGUAAGGAGGUUGGGAUCUGAAGGUCAGAUAAGCUUGGCAACUCUUGUUCAGGCCAUUGCAAGAAUAUCCCAGAGCGGAAUUCUGUGUGUUUGAACACUUUGUUGUACCUUUCCCCACGUAAGGCUGCUGAGCUUGAAUCAAAGAACAGCAAUAAAGAACGAAGAGAGCGAAAGGAGAAACAACAGAACGGAAGCUCAUGUUGAUUUGGGAAAGAACUAAUUGUGUGAAUGGCAAAAUACAGUUCAAGAGGAAUGGAUAUCUAUUCAGGCAAAGCAGAGAGGUUGCACGAGGAACUUUUUUCUUUAAAAAGAAGAAAGAUUCUUCAUAUAAUUGAAAUUCAUGAAAGAGAAAUUUCUUGGACAUAGGAAUGGCGAGGAUUACGCGUUUGGUAUUAUCGUAUAAAUUAUUUUUUAUUUAAAAAUAUAUUAAAAUAUUUUUUAUAACAAUAUAUUUAAUAUUUUUUAAGUCAAAUAUAUUUUUAAAAUAAACUCAAAUUCAUUAUCAAACAAAAAAAAAUAAACAGCAUAUUAACAUUUGUCAUUUGUCAGUAUUAAGAUACUUAACUACAUAGUUAUUAAACUCCAUCUAAAAUUAACUCGGUUAAAUAGCCCCGUCAAUUGAUUUGACUCGGGUAAACUGGAAAAGAGUAGAAAGUUGAGCUACAAGUCAUCACUGAUUACUGAAAUGGGAUUUCUCACGCUAAGGGUCCACGUUUCAUCCUCGACAAACACCUUUUCUCUGGUUUCACAGAAGAUUAGUCUGCAUUUAACUCCUCCACAACGUAUUCAUUUGAAACAUAAGAUCAAGCUCUCAGGGAAUUGCCCAGGUACUGGAACUACUUGCUAUGAUUUUACGGUAGAUGUUCCUUCACCAUUACAAAAGGACCUUGAUGCGUACUGGACCAGCACACAAAGAAACUAAUGCUUGUGAUGAAUUGAUAUGUGACUCUAUAAAGAAGAUGCAUGAGCAUCGUCGGAGGCGGGCUUUCUUCCUUGGUUUCAAUCGUCUCCAGCGGAGUUUAUAAUGCUUUAAUUGCUUCUCAGAGCAAAGAUUUGAAGCUUGUCGCUGGAGAUGCUAGCUGCCAUUCAGAAAAUGAGCAGCGAUCUAGUUUCUAUAAUCAACCGAGUUAGACUGGAUUAACUUGUGAGUCACUUGAGUUUUACCAAAAUCAUUACAACUCUAGUUUUUUAUAUAUAAAAACUAGGUCAAAAUUCUAAGUUCUCCAGACAAGGCAAGAUCAGAUUUUAUAAUUAUGCUAAGUUGACCAGAGCAUUUCAUAUCUUUUCACAAGAUAUGGUGCUUGAUGAUGUAUAUUUAAGUAAAAUGCUGCAUUUCCAACCUAAACCAAUCUUUGAAUGCUAAGAUUAGAGGAAUAAUCAAAUCAGAACAUGGGUUUACCAAAGCAAAGAUCAUCACCAAUGAAUAAAAAAAAAAAAACAUAUUUAAGAUAUGGAAUCAUGGAAGAAAAUAUAUUUUAGCAAGGUUUCCAGGCUAACGUGAUCUUCCUUCACCUCCCAGCUAUGACAAAAUCAGACACAAUUCUUCAAAACAAAACUAUGUAUUCCUAUUGCUCCAUCCUUUCCUUCUGCUGAAAACCAGCAAAACGAGUAAGCAGCAGCUGUAUUUGACUUUGGACUCUCUGUAACUAUAUGAAAGUAACAUCCUGUUUGUGCACGUUAGAGCCGCGGCCUCCUGGAAGCAGCCCGGUCAGUGGAAAAAUAAGCACAUAAUUCUAACAAAUUAACACUGUUCACCCACUUUUGAGAUGUGGACUCACUGAUGGGAUUUUUUUUAUUAUUAUUAUUUUGGUUUUUUUUUUUUUGCCUUAUUAUAUUUUUUAGGGUCAAAUUAAAAAGAAAUUAAGUAAAAUAUAUUAAUCAAGAACAAAAUCGAAAGAAAAGAACCAAUAUAAAAAAAAUUGAUUUAAAUUUGUUAAUCAUAACAAAAUCAAAAGAAAAGGGAUCAAUAUAAAAAAAAGUUUUAAAAAUAAAUGGUGGGUUUACAAUUAUAAAAAAAAAUGCUUUAGCACUGAUACUUUUCAAAUUAUAUUUAUUUCAGAUGACAAUUUUUUUUGCAAUUUAAUUUUGAUACAAAUUUUUUUUAAUUUUUAAUUUCUUGGUUUGAAAGGAGAGAAAAGAAUUGCUGAAUUUCAAUGAUAAAGAGAGCAAAUUGACUUUGACAGCAAUUCUAGCCACCAAAAUGAUUAAUCUUGGUGUGAAUGGGUUUUAUUUGGUAAGAUUAGCUUCACUUAGGUGUUUUUUCCACCAUAAAAAUGCUUAAAAAUCAUUUCUAAACUCAGGAAGAUAUUUUAUUUCGAGUUGAUUUUGAGUUUUUAUGCAGCUUUUUAGGUUGUAAUGUUUUAGGUUGUUUAAGAUUAUUAAAGCGUUUAUCAACGUGUUUAGAGUCUUUUCCAAGUAAUUUGGUAAAACAUAGGUUAAAAAUAUAUUUCUAGGUUAAAAAUCAUGAACCCUGAUCCUCCAACCAUAAUUUAGAAAAAUUAAACGAGCAUCAUCUAUAUUUUUUAAAAAAUAAGGGUCUACACAUCCAGUUCCUUUCAAAAUGGGUCAGGCGCGCAUAGGCUCAUUCUUUUUCUUUUUUGUAAUUUUUAUAAUUUUGCUCUUUUUUAAAUUGAUGCUUUUUAUGUUUUUUUUAAAUAAUCUUUUUAAUUUAUAUUUAUAUUAAUAAUCUAUUUUUAAAAUUUAUUAUUUAUUAUUUUAAAAUUAUGGUUAUUUUUUAAUUAUUUUAUAGUAUUUAGUUUUUGAAGAUAUUAUUCUAAUUGAUUUUUAUUUUUUAAAUUUUUUUUUAAAUAAAAUUUAUUUUUAAAAAUAAAAAAUUGAAUAACUUUUUUAUUAAGUGCAACCUUGCAUGAUAUUUUUUUCACUUUGAUUUUAUUUAAUUAAUUUUAUGUAUAUAUUAAUUUCUAUUAUUAUUUGAUUAAAUAAAAAAUUUAAUUUUACUAAAAAGAGUCAUUUAACACAUAAUCGGUUUAAUGAAUCAUAUUAUGAGAUUAAAUAUUUUAAUUUACAUUAGUUUCUCGAUUUUUUCAAUUAAAUCUUUAGUUAUCAUUAAUUAUUAUUUUAUUUAUUAAUAUAAUAUAGAUAAUUAUUGAUUUAUUUAAUUAUAUAUGUAAAUAAAAUUAUUUAUUUUUACUUAAAAAAAAUAGAGAGUUCUUGAUUUUUAAAAAAAUAUAUAUAAAAAAAAUACAUUAAAAAUUCGAAUUAAUUUAAAAAAAAAAAAAAUACUUACCCCACAGGACACCGUGCGAAAAGGUAGCUAACAUCAAUCGAGGAAACCAGGUGGACCCACCAAAUGCCUUUUCUUUUCUUAACGAACGACGACCAUCUAGAAGUCCAACAGCAAUUUGAUUGCUUAAUCAAUCUGAUCCAAGCCCAACAUAUCUAACAUUAUGAUGGGCUAGGCCCACCAUGUCUUUCUACAACAAUGCCAAGGAGGCUUGGACCUUCUUACUCUAGUUUGACCCAAAUAUAAUAGGUUUCACUGCUCACGUUUCGCCACGGCCGAGCAAAAAAACUUUUGAUGUAAAAGAAAUAUUAGGAUAAAAAAAUCUAAGUACCAACUCAUUUGUUUAAAUAGUAAUUUAAAUAAUAUAAAAAAAAAUUAAUAAAAAUAAAUAAAUUGAAAAACAAAUUGAUACAAGUUUAUCGAGAUUACAAAACAACUCAAUGCUAAUCUAAUAGAAAGCAACUUUUAAAAAUAACAAAGAAAAAUUCCUAAAAAUAGAAAAAAUCAUUAGCUUUACAAAAAAUAAGAAAAAAAUAAUCAAGCAAACUCAACUGAACCUUUUAAAUCUGGUUUAAUUUUUAAAACUUGCAACUCAUUAAAUUUUGGAUUCGGAUUCAAUUGAUAAGCUUAACUUUCAACCAAUUUAAUUUUAAAAAAUAAAAUAGUUGCGAAAUAUUUUAAAAAAAAACUUGCAAAAGAUUAAAAAAAAUAGCAAUAAAAAAAAUGAGAAAAAAUUUUGUUUGAUUCUAUUUGUUUGAUUAUAACUCUAUGGUAGCUAGUCAGAAUAUUUAUGCUAACAAAGGUAGUGUUAGUCUUUGUGUACAUCGUAGUUCUGAAUCCUAGUUGAUUGGGGGAGUCACUAACCUGUAGUGACUAAUCAUUUCACGGUUUGGAGCGUCAUGCUCAGUUCAUUUUGAUUUUCUAAUGAGCCUUGCCUUAAAAUAUUUCUUAUUAUGAUCUACUUGUAAAAUUCUCUUGUGAAAGUAUAAAGCCAAACUUAUAUUUAAUUAUCUUUAUUGUAUUACUUUGUUGAUGUAUAUUAAAUGUUAUUUACUCACUAAGUUGUUGAACUUAUCCUUUUAUUAUUUAUCAUUUUCAGGCAAGUAACUUUGUUAGCAAGUCAUUUUUAUUGGACUUCCAAAACCUGUUUUUUUUUAUUAUUAUAAUUAAUGUUAUUUUUUAUAUCUAAUUAGUGCUCCACAUUUAAAGAAUUUAUAUUACGGAAUUAUUAUUAUUAUUAUUAUAUCAAAUAUUGUGUAGAGCUUUGAUUGAGUUAAAAAAAAUGAGGUAUGUCUAAAUGUUUGAAUUCACAUCGGUAAAGAAAUUGAAGGGAAAUCUUUUUUAUAUAUCGUUCAUGGAUUCGAGAAUUAGGUCUUGAUAGUCAAGGCUCCCUUACCUUUAGCUUGCUUGCUCGUGUGAUCCAAGAUCAUUGAAUUUGUCUCAACUAUGAUAAUAGAAGUUCUAGAUUAAUGAUUUAAAGUGUCGCUACAGGAAAAGAAAUAUUUUCUACUGCAUUCUAUAACCAUUGGAUGAAAAACCAGAGAAGGAUAAUGACAAAAGAGUUUCCGAAAGGUAAUACAGUUGGUGAAAGAAUUCACUACAGCUUCCUUGCUCUCGAGAGCUCUAAUUCGAACUAUGCUAGCUAGAUGUGUUGUUUGACAAUUCCCAGGCCAGAGAAGUAGUCAAAUUCCUGAGAGAGACUGCACGAUUUCAUCCGUGGCCGGGCGAUCUGCUGGAUUUUUACUCAAGCAACUAUCAAUCAAUCUGACCAUUAAAACGGCGAGUCCUGAAGGAUAAUUCCCUUGCAUUGAAGGAUCAAUAAUCUGACUCAGACUCUCCUCCAGCCCACCUUCCUCAGAAAGAACACCAUUUAAAACAUCAGAUAGCUCCCUGUUUUCCUCUCUGUAUAGAGCAGCAACUUCUUUCCCAGUCAUUAUCUCCAGUGUGAGAAUUCCAAAUGCAUAGACAUCAAGUUUUGUACAGAUAAUACCAUUUUCCAGGUACUCAGGAGCCAUGUAACCUUUAGUCCCAACGAUGUGCCUUGUCAAUGCAAAUUCACCUUCCGGCCCAUCUGUUGACCUUGCCAGGGAAAAGUUUGCAGUCUUAGCCCUUAAAUCAUUAUCAAGAAGUAUGUUGCUGCUCUUUAUAUCCUUGUGGACAUGAGGAUAGUCAGUAAAACUAUGCAGAUAGUUAAGCCCUGUAGCUACAUCCGUAGCAAUCUGUAUCCUUUGUGUCCAUUUCAAGAACUUUCCUUCGUUGCUGCUAACAUGAAUCCAAUCACUCAAAGGUCCAUUGGCAGCAUACUCGUAAACCAGGUACCAAUGCCCAUCAUUGAAACAAACACCAGAGAGGCGAAUUAGAUUACAGUGGUUGAUCUUAUUCAAUAAAUCUAUCUCCUUGGACACGUCUCC